AGCGUCUAGAAUGGGAAUAGAGGUGUUAUCUGCCCGGUGGAAACCCUAAACGGCGGCCUUAGCGUGAUGGUCUUAAGGUAGCAUAUAAGAUCCUGAAUAAUUAUCUGGUGGUAUGAAUGGGAGCACGAGGGGAAGACUGUCUCGGUUUAAUUACAGUAAACUUACCUUGGAGGUGAAAAGGCCUUCAUGUAGUAAAUAGACGAUAAGACCCCAUGAAAUUUUAAUCCUUGUUUUAAGUUGGGUUGGUAUUAUUGGCGAAUUUGUUUGGGUUUUAGUUGGGGCAACUCGGGAGUAUUACAAGCCUCCCGGAAUAUCUUUUAAACUUACAGGUGUUGAACCUCCUUCAUGCGUGGUUAUCGGAAAAAAUUACUCUGGGGAUAACAGCGUCAUCUUCCCGGAGAGGACAUAUCGGUGGGAAGGUUUACGACCUCGAUGUUGAAUGUGGCUACCCUUAUUGCUUGCAAUAGGCAUAAAAGGUUCGGACUGUUCGUCCAUUAAAAGCCAACC
rnacentral:rRNA from 1 species